CCGAGCAGAGCGUCCUCCAGGGCCUGGCGGGAGCCGCAUCCGUGGAGAGUGGGCCACGCGUCCUUCACAACCAGGAGCCGGCUGUGUGAGAGGGACCCCCUGGAGGCCGUGUGUGCGUGUAAAACGAUGUUCUUGGAAUGAUGGAGAGACCUCGGGAGCCAGGAGGCUGCGGUCCGAGAGCCCCCGAAGUGGGCUUAACGCUGAACAGCCCCCUGAAUAACGGGGCACGUGGGAGAGCCGCCCACCUACAGGUCAUUCUCCGGAGCCGAGGAGCAGAGGCCGUCCCCGUCGGCACGUGUCCCCUCCCAAGCACCCGCUCUGAGCGCGGGGUUCCACGACUGGAGAGUGGAGGCCGGCGGGGACGCAGCACAGCCUCACGGGAUCCCCCAGGGGCCGAGGUCUACACUGCCAGUGACGAGAACACAACGGAUGCUCGGUCUAUGAACUAGAGGAAGGCAGGUGGUGAAGGACACGCCACCCUCAGGCCAUCGCAGCUCGGAGGGGGGACCGCCGCCUCCCACUUGAUGUCUCCAAACCCAAGGGGAUGGCCUUCUCGCGCUGGCAAGUCCUCUGCUGGGUGUCCGGCCAUGUGGAUGGGGCACAGGCCCCGCCACCCCUCGUUAGGCUUCAGAUCGGCGUCCACCGUGUUGUUGUGGAUUAAACGGGCUCCACGCUCUCGCAUCGGGUCGUGUCCUUGACUCCCUCCCUUCGCUCGGCCUGCGAGACACCGUCUCAUCCAACAUGGCCAGAGCAGGGCCCUGGGGUCAUGUGGAUCAAUGAACAGUCAUCAGAUGAAUGAGUGGGCCCGUUGCAAGCUGCAAAUAUGACUCUGGCAGCAUCAAGUGGUGAUAACUACACUCAUCUGUGUUCUUUGAGAAAGACCCAUAAAAGAACAUGUCCACCCACACUGCAGUGCCAGCCGUCCAUAGCUGGCAGGGUGCAGGAGGAACUGUCGCCACAGCUGUGUGGGUGCACUCUUAUGCCUCCUAGCCAAGGGCCUGGUGCUGGGCCUGUUGCAUCUUUGCUGCUUCUCAGAGUGAGGGACUACAGAAACUGUCCCUGCACCUGUCACCGAGGCAUGGAGGGAGUCGGCGCCAUCCCACCCCUGCCAACAGAGAGACAUGAGGCUCACCAGUCACCCACAGGGAGCAGUGACGGUGCCAAGGCCGCACUCACCUGCCAGGAAGUGGGAAGAGCCCCAUCUGCUCCUGGAACGUGGGUCCCAGGUCACGUUCUUGUGGGUCCCUGGGAGGCCGAGGGAGGAGGUGGGGGAGGAGGCGGAGGAGGAGGCGGUUUCCGCACUGGCGCAUGACAGGGGAGACACAAGCUCCUAUCCCAGUGGGCCGGGUUCCUGAAGGCAAUAUUCCCUCAAGCAAAAAGGUUGCAUAUUAACUUGCUGAUUCCUGCUGACACCCCGCUCACCCUCUGACUGGGACUCUGGAGGCUGGGGCUCCGGGUGGACAAAUGUGUGUGAAAUGAAGUGAUGGGGAAGGAAGCCGUGGUGGGAACUCAUGGGUCCCCAGAAGGAGGUUCCAAGCCCAGCCAGGUUAGGGAACUCAGAAUAAGACCACCCUGGGUUCGAAUGAGCCCUAAAUGUAAUGACUGGAGUCCUUCUAAGAGAGGAGAGGACACACGGAUGCACACGGAGGGGCCAUGUGAUGACAGGGGCUGUGAUGACGGGGGGCAUGGCCACAGCCCAGGAGCACCCAGGGGCUGGAGAGGCAGGGAAGAGCCCUGCCUGGGGCCUCUGCAGGGAGCUUGGCGCUGCCCUCUCUGACCUCCACGCUGCGUGAGAAUAAAUCUCUGCUGUUUCGAGCCACCUGGACACUGGUAGUUUGUCACGGCUGCCCUGGCAAAUGGCUGCACAUGUCAUCUGUCUUCAGGGCUUUCUUUUUAAGGAAAUCUGCCAGGCUUGCUGCAGCUGGACCUGAAUUAAAGGAAGUUGCUGGGCAGCAGCCAGAAAUUGUCCCCCAAGAUGACAUAG